ACCACAGCCAUAUGACAUAAAUCCCAAUUUCAACCUUUAGUCAUAUGCUGCUUGUACUUACAUUGAGCUUUGUCAAAUUCAUGUGAACCUUGUGAGAUAUCCUUCAUACAUCCAUGAUCAAGAUUACGUACACUCACUAAAUAAAACGCUAACUCAAAAGAGUUACGCAUCCAUAAAUAAAAAUUCCAUUGUGUUAUAAACCUCUCUUCGAGAAAUCUCAACAAGAAGGAGGAUGGGGCUAUAUAGAAAUAAACCAUGUCAAAAGAGCAUGGAGAAAAUGAAAAGAUGCCAUGCCAAAGAAGCAUGAGCCAAAAAAAGAAAAAAAGUAUAGCCCAAUCUUCCCAACCGCUAUG
rnacentral:lncRNA from 1 species